rnacentral:rRNA from 1 species
GAUGAACGCUGGCGGCGUGCCUAAUACAUGCAAGUCGGGCGAAUGGAUUAAGAGCUUGCUCUUAUGAAGUUAGCGGCGGACGGGUGAGUAACACGUGGGUAACCUGCCCAUAAGACUGGGAUAACUCCGGGAAACCGGGGCUAAUACCGGAUAACAUUUUGAACCGCAUGGUUCGAAAUUGAAAGGCGGCUUCGGCUGUCACUUAUGGAUGGACCCGCGUCGCAUUAGCUAGUUGGUGAGGUAACGGCUAACAAAGGCAACGAUGCGUAGCCGACCUGAGAGGGUGAUCGGCCACACUGGGACUGAGACACGGCCCAGACUCCUACGGGAGGCAGCAGUAGGGAAUCUUCCGCAAUGGACGAAAGUCUGACGGAGCAACGCCGCGUGAGUGAUGAAGGCUUUCGGGUCGUAAAACUCUGUUGUUAGGGAAGAACAAGUGCUAGUUGAAUAAGCUGGCACCUUGACGGUACCUAACCAGAAAGCCACGGCUAACUACGUGCCAGCCGCCGCCGUAA